UUUAGUCAGGCAACGAGCGAGACCCCUAUCCGUAAUUGCUAACUGUCCAGAGAUGGGUAGAGGCUAGUUACAGAGACUGCCGCUGCUAAAGCGGAGGAAGGAAGGGGCCACGGCAGGUCAGUAUGCCCCGAAACUCCUGGGCCACACGCGGGCUGCAAUGGUAGGGACAAUAGGUUCCGACCUCGAAAGAGGAAGGCAAUCCCCAAACCCUACCCCAGUUGUGAUCGAGGAUUGAAACCCGUCCUCGUGAAUAUGGAAUCCCUAGUAACCGCGUGUCAUCACCGCGCGGUGAAUACGUCCCUGCUCCUUGCACA
rnacentral:rRNA from 1 species